rnacentral:tRNA from 1 species
CAUUAAGAAGCUAUGCACCAGCGCUAGCCUUUUAAGCUAGAGAAAGUGGGAGACCCCCCCCCUCCUUAAUGA